GCAUGACUCCACGCCCUGUUUUCCGGGGACCCACAUAGAAUUCCAGCCCUUCCACGCUGCUAUUACGUUCCGUUCGCGAGCAGAAGCUGGCUGCGGUGUCGUUUUCUCCGAUCAGUCGGACCUUGAUCAAUCUUUUCAACUGUCCUUGUUCUCGGGUUUUACGCAUUUGAUUGCAAUUGGAAUAGCUUGGAUUCGUGUGUGACCGUCGAUUCCACAAUUUUUUUCGACCGAAUUGGCUCUGAAGCAAUGGAUUGACUUCAGUUUUCCUUCAACCCCUCCACCAAGUUGAGAAAACAGUCUAACCUGCGGUCUCUCCAUACUUCGAGCUCACAAGCCAGCUAGCUACAUGUUUCAUCCGGACAGUUUCAAAAGUAGCUGGUACCGGAUGUUUUUAAACAUUUCGUAGGUGAAACAUUGAAGUUCUUGGUUUGUCUCAGAAGUGUAUGGAAAUAGGUGGCAGAGGAUUUUAAACACGGAUUUUCUCCGGGGUUCUUGAAGCCUGCAAACAUUUAUUUUUGAAAAGUGAUGGCGGAGCGGGGAGCAAGGUUGCUCCUCUCUCUCCUCUGUCUCACCUUUCUUUACUCGGCGACCACCGUGUCAAGACAUGCCGACAAAGCUCGAGCUACUAGGUCCUGCAGUGCACUACUAGCAGCCGACAUGGAGCAUUGACUUGUAGCUUCUAGACAUCUGCAGGCUACGACAUGGAGCAUUGACUUGUAGCUUCUAGACAUCUGCAGGCUACGACAUGGAGCAUUGACUUGUAGCUUCUAGACAUCUGCAGGCUAAUUAGUCAGCUGCAUUUCAGUCAACUAAGGGCCAAUGUUUUUGAACCAUUUGUUUGUUAGGAGUACUUUUCAGACCACAACAUGACCAUACAGGUGGUAAAACAAAUGAAAUGCGGUUGUUGUCGAGCCAUUUCAAGUGUUUAUUUAUGUAUUUGUUUUACCUUUUAGCUAUUAUGUCUGGAUUUAACUCCCACGUCACGUUUGUUUCUACGGUCAUAAUUGACAGAUUUAUUUAUUAUUCACUGAUUUAAAAACUCGGGUAGAUGCAUACAUGGAAAUAUUUGUCUGUAUAUUUGUCUUGUCUCAAAUCGACAUUUCGUUGCUUUGUAUUAUCACAGGUUCAGGUUGCUCGCUCUCUCAAAACCAUUACAGUCACGUCAUUAAUUGCAACGGAUGGCAAGAACCCGGCUCUAUAACCACAAAUUAAUGACUCUCAUUUGGGUUUACUGUCAAGCAAUAAGCUAGCAUCAUCAGUCCGCCAGACAUCUCAUUACCUGGGCGUCAAUACACGUUUGGCCGAUGGAUAGAAAGUACACAAUUUAUACCCCCCCCCC
rnacentral:lncRNA from 1 species